rnacentral:lncRNA from 1 species
AGAUCUCUCUCUCUGCGGAAGCCAGCCACCGCUCUCCAAGGACUCUCGAGCAGCUCCAUCUACAGAUUCACAUGGAGAAGAAUUAAGGGUUCCUGCCAAUCACCAGCACCACUUUGCCAGCCUUGUAAGUGGGCCACCUUGGAAUUGGAGCCUCCAGUUCCUACUGACAUCUGACUGCAACAUCAUGAGAGACCCUGAGUUUGAACCACCCAGCUGAGCUGCUUCUGAGCUAACCCACUGAAACCGUGAAAGUACCUGAAUGAAACAACACCCAGUAGCCACUAGCACACCUAGCUCCCAGAUCUGUUUUUGAUGCCAUUCUUCAGUAAAAGGAAGCAAGGCUGCUUGGAGAAAUUGCUAUCAAGGACUGGGGUAGAAAAUAUACAAGAUGAAAUUGGAGCAUCUUGUAGUGCUUGAAAACAGUUGGCAUCUGUGUGAAGAUGUGAAUGGAGGAGGCAGAGUAGGCAGUGAGUGCCGCAGCCACAGCUUGUGUUCUCUGCAGCCCUGGCACAGAAGAUAGGAACACUCAUGGGGGAUGCGGCCACUGUGAUGUCUUCCCACACAAGAAGUGCCAAGUGCUUUUCUCAUGCUUUUCUGGAUUGUCCCAUGGUGGACGAGUCAGCAGGAGUGAGAUGGAGCAGCACAGUAGAGGGGUACCUGGCAAGGCCCGGAGGGAGGACCCCCUGCCCCAAACAUUUCAAUGAUAUCAGGUUCCUUAGAUCCUGGGAUGAGGAGGUGGACCAGCAGAAGGUGGGCUUGUGAAGGCAGCCCGGGGUCCAAAUCCUCCUGGCUCUUCAGCUUAGCGGGUUAGUUAACAUUCAGAAGCCUUCAUCUCCCAUCUGCAAAAUGGGCAUGUCCAACUCAGAAGCUGCCUUGAAGAAAGGGUCUACCCAGCAUGGUGCGUGGAGCCUAAGCAGUCAGUACUUCAGGACUUCACCCGGCCCCUUUCCAAUAACUGCUGCUGUCGCCCUCACAGGAUGUCACCUUCAGCGUCUGAAAGCUGGGUUUGAUGCGUCUGGAAAGGCGUCCCUGACAGGCGUCGUUGCCAGGAGCCCCUAGUGCCACCAGCAGCCAGCAGGGGAGGGCGUCCUCUGCCCGCUCACUUCUGACCCUUCUCUCGUUGCACCCGGAACAUGGUGCAGCUGGGAGCAGCCUGGGCUGCGCGGAAGGCUCAGAUUUGGGGACGGCCCUUGCCAGUGACUGUGAGCUGGGGUGUCUUGGAAACUCCCAGUCUCAGCUUCUCCAUUUAUAAGAUGAGAAUGAUCAUACCAGACUCAGGCAAGGUUGUUUGUGCAUUAGUGAAAUCAGACGUAUUAAAUAAAGUACCACAUUGAUCGUGGAGUUGUUGAAUAACCAAGAACACGCCUAUCUGUCUCCAAAAAAUAAAUGUUGAAAAU